GCUGGGCAUGGUGGCGCGUGCCUGUAAUCCCAGCUACUCAGGAGGCUGAGGCAGGAGAAUUGCCUGAACCCAGGAGGCGGAGGUUGCAGUGAGCUGAAAUCACGCCACUGCACUCCAGCCUGGGUAACAAGAGCAAAACUCUGUCUCAA
rnacentral:sRNA from 13 species